GUUGGUUGGAAAUCGUGGACGUGACUGGGAGGAGCCUGGCCGCCCAGGGUUUCCGCGCGGGGCCGCGCAGGGAGCCGGGGGCGGCCAUGGCGGAGCCCACCGUGUGCUCCUUCCUCACCAAGGUGCUGUGCGCCCACGGGGGCCGCAUGUUCCUGCAGGACCUGCGCGCCCACGUGGAGCUCUCGGAGGCCCGGCUCGGCGACGUGCUGCGCCAGGCCGGGCCCGACCGCUUCCUGCUGCAGGAGGUGGCGCCGAAGGAGGGCCCCUGGGACGCGGAGGCCGAGGUGGCGGCGGGUGCGGGCGGCGGCGGCGGCGGCGGCCCCUCGGCCUGGAGGGUGGUGGCCGUGUCCUCCGCGCGCCUCUGCGCCCGCUACCAGCGCGGCGAGUGCCAGGCCUGCGACCAGCUGCACUUCUGCCGCCGCCACAUGCAGGGCAAGUGCCCGAACCGCGACUGCUGGUCUACCUGUACCCUUUCCCAUGAUAUCCACACACCUGUCAACAUCCAAGUGCUGAAAAACCACGGGCUUUUUGGCCUCAAUGAGGCCCAGCUCCGGAUUCUGCUUUUACAGAACGACCCCUGCCUUUUACCAGAGGUCUGUUUGUGCUACAACAAAGGUGAAGCCCUGUAUGGCUACUGCAUCCUCAAGGACAAAUGCAACAAGUUUCAUGUGUGCAAGUCCUUUGUCAGGGGAGAGUGCAGGCUUCAGAAAUGCAAACGGUCCCACCAACUCAUUCACGCGGCAUCCCUGAAGCUGCUGGAAGACCAAGGACUGAAUGUUUCCAGUGUCGUGAAUUUCCAGAUAAUCUCUACCUACAGGCACGAAAAGCUGCACAAGAUGCUUGAAAAUAAAGAUAAUUCAGCUCCUUCUGCUGAGCACUCACAGGCCCUUGAGAAGCAAGGAAGACCGGUUCCUGGGGCUGCAGAAGCCCGUCCCCUGGCUUCUGCCCCUGCCCAGGCGGCCAAGAAGCCAUGUGCAGCUCUUUUGAGAAAUAAUGGACACAUAACAUGUGGAAGUUUAAGGUGUGCAAGGCUAUGAUUUGAUGCAUGUAUACUUGCAAAAUGAUGACUACAAUGAGAUGUGACUAUACUGUUCCAGAGAUACGAAUAUUUUAGUCAAAAAAGCAUUUCAAAGUUGUCUGCCAGAGUGGCUGGACCAUUCACACUCUCAGCAGUGUGGGGAUUGCCACUCUCCAACAGCAUGUGUUGUAGGUACUUCCGUCCUGAUGGAAGAGACAGGGUACCUUUUGUUUCUAAUGAGUUCUUCUGAGCAGAAAGUGAAACUGCCUCCCUCUAAUACGCAUGGCGAGCUCUCGGUUCAGUGAAGUGUCUGCUAACCUGAGUUGACCGUAUCUGCUUUCAAGUUUCGGAGGGGCUCCUCUGGCCAAGGAAAACUUGGCAAUGCCUCAGGCAGACCUUCCUUUGGGUCACACUCUUCUCCAGGCCCAUCAUAAAGCAUU